rnacentral:rRNA from 1 species
UACGUAGGGUGCGAGCGUUGUCCGGAAUUAUUGGGCGUAAAGGGCUCGUAGGCGGUCUGUCACGUCGGGAGUGAAAACUCAGGGCUUAACCCUGAGCCUGCUUCCGAUACGGGCAGACUAGAGGUAUGCAGGGGAGAACGGAAUUCCUGGUGUAGCGGUGAAAUGCGCAGAUAUCAGGAGGAACACCGGUGGCGAAGGCGGUUCUCUGGGCAUUACCUGACACUCAGGGACGAAAGCUAGGGGAGCGAAUGGG